rnacentral:rRNA from 1 species
CGUAGGGUGCGAGCGUUAAUCGGAAUUACUGGGCGUAAAGUGUGCGCAGGCGGCCGCGCAAGUCGAGUGUGAAAUCCCCGAGCUUAACUUGGGAAUUGCGCUCGAAACUACGUGGCUGGAGUGUGGCAGAGGAAGGUGGAAUUCCACGUGUAGCGGUGAAAUGCGUAGAUAUGUGGAGGAACACCGAUGGCGAAGGCAGCCUUCUGGGCCAACACUGACGCUCAUGCACGAAAGCGUGGGGAGCAAACAGGAUUAGAUACCCUGGUAGUCCACGCCCUAAACGAUGAUGACUAGUUGUUGGAGGAGUUAAAUCCUUUAGUAACGUAGCUAACGCGUGAAGUCAUCCGCCUGGGGAGUACGGUCGCAAGAUUA